UAUUCCCAUUGCCGUUUAACGGAGACAACCCAGAUCAUAGAGUUGUCAUAUUAGUGAGUUUGUGGAUUUUCGCGGUAUGGCCUCUGUUUAGCUAAGAUCUCGUGUUCAGUAACAACUAGAGUUAGACCAAGCUAAGUUGGCAGCGAUUUUGACACCCCAGACGGUGCAAGUGUUAUUUAAACAUUUCUAAGUUUGCACCGUAUGGAUCUAACCUCUCUUCGUAUUCGUAAAAGAUCAUUUAUUUCCAGUUUGGACCGCGAUGCAACGGCUCGGUGAAUCAUGAAAAUUUUCUCGUCACAAUGAGGUUUGUAAUGAUGAUGUCUUUAGUACAAUCGACGCAAAAGAUAUGUUUACAUUGUUCAUGUAGUACUUGAUCUUAUUUCAACGCAAUAAGGCGCAAUAUGGCACGACUGACGUUGACCGUCCGCGUAGAUCACCGCGCAAAUAAGUGCGGGAGUAAUGUACUGAUAACGCUGAUAAACAUGCUAAUUUCGCCGCUUCCGAGCGAUAUUGUUUACUAUUUAUAACAACUUGUGUGCAAACAGCUUGACAGUUGAGUCUGGAAUUAAUUGUUUAUGUCCUAAAACGUGCUGUAUAUGUUUUGAAGCUUUUCGAAUAUGUUUUAGUUCUUCUCACAUUUAUUUAAUAUAUUUUUUAGUAUUUCUCAACAUAAGUUGAAAAUAAUAGUAUUUUCAAAUAAUUAAUAGAAUCAGGCGUUACUUUGCGGAAAUCCAUGCUAAUUAAAACAAGAAAUAUUACUUUGCUAAUCCGCGAGAAAAUAACGUGUUAGUCAACCGUUAUACUUACUUGCGUAUUUUUACAUGUUGUUUUUUGAGUUUUGUACUUUUGGUGGUGGGUUGUUAUAUUUAUUUGCGUAUUUAUUUUUGCGGUGGGAGGGUGGGAACAUUAAUUGCAUGUAAAAAUACGCAAGUAAGUAUAACGGUUGACUAACACGUUAUUUUCUCGCGGAUUACAAAUUAAUUUUUCUUGUUUUAAUAGUAUUUUCUGCUUUGCCCUAACGUUGACUGGUAGAUGACAAUGUUUUUCUUUUGUGCAAUAAAAUUUUAAUAAAUAAUUGAUGAUGAUGACGACCGGUUUAGCCAAGUGGGUAGUAACCCUGCCUACGAAGCUGAUGGUCCCGGGUUCAAAUCCUGGUAAGGGCAUUUAUUCGUGUGAUGAGCAUGGAUAUUUGUUCCUGAGUCAUGGGUGUUUUCUAUGUAUUUAAGUAUUUAUAAAUAUUUAUAUAUUAUAUAUAUCGUUGUCUAAGUACCCUCAACACAAGCCUUAUUGAGCUUACUGUGGGACUUAGUCAAUUUGUGUAAUAAUGCCGUAUAAUAUUUAUAUUAAAAUAUUUAUAUUUAAUUGAACAUAUCGCUGCUAAUCAUGAACAGUGGCACAAAACAAAAUGGAGAGCCAUUCAAUUUCGAAUCUUUCAAGCAGUCACAGUUUAAUGAGCAAGAAAGCGCAUUAUGCGAGAGAGGGAAAAAGGAAUUCGCUGUCAAGCAUAGUUUUUUUAGAUAGUUGUAAGUAAAAAUACUAUUAUCUGUCUGUGCCCUUGUUUUGAUAUGAUUAAAUAUCGUCUACUUAACGGGGAAACUAGACAGAUUCCAAUUCCCGGCAUUAGUCAUAACAGCCAAAGAGGUACGGUAUUAAUAGCCAUUAUUCAUUAAUCAGAAGUACUUUCCAGAUGCGUCCCACCGCGCACCAUUUUUUUCGUUAUUCCCAAAUCGUGGUUUUUCCAAAGCGAAGGUAUUUACAAUUCAUGAAGCGUUUUGAUAGUAGACGGCUUUUUAGGGUUCCGUAGCCAAAUGGCAAAAAACGAUUAUAGAUUAUAGAUUCGUCAUGUCCGUCUGUCUGUCCGAUUCUGUCACAGCCACUUUUUUCCGAAACUAUAAAAGCUAUACUGUUCAAACUUGGUAAGUAGAUGUAUCCUAUGAGCCGCAUUAUGAUGUUUACACAAAAAUAGAAAAAAAAACAAUAAAUUUUGGGGGUUCCCCAUACUUAGAACUGAAACUCAAAAAAUCUUUUUUCAUCAAACCCAUACGUGUGGGGUAUCUAUGGAUAGGUAUUUAAAAAUGAUAUUGAGGUUUUUAAUAUCAUUUUUUUUCUAAACUGAAUAGUUUGCGCGAGAGACACUUCCAAAGUGGUAAAAUGUGUCCCCCCCCUGUAACUUCUAAAAUAAGAGAAUGAUAAAACUAAAAAAAAUAUAUGAUGUACAUUACCAUGUAAACUUCCACCGAAAAUUGGUUUGAAUGAGAUCUAGUUAGUAGUUUUUUGUAAUACGUCA